rnacentral:rRNA from 1 species
GAUGAACGCUGGCGGCGUGCCUAAUACAUGCAAGUCGAGCGAACAGACGAGGAGCUUGCUCCUCUGACGUUAGCGGCGGAAGGGUGAGUAACACGUGGAUAACCUACCUAUAAGACUGGGAUAACUUCGGGAAACCGGAGCUAAUACCGGAUAAUAUAUUGAACCGCAUGGUUCAAUAGUGAAAGACGGUUUUGCUGUCACUUAUAGAUGGAUCCGCGCCGCAUUAGCUAGUUGGUAAGGUAACGGCUUACCAAGGCAACGAUGCGUAGCCGACCUGAGAGGGUGAUCGGCCACACUAGAACUGAGACACGGUCCAGACUCCUACGGGAGGCAGCAGUAGGGAAUCUUCCGCAAUGGGCGAAAGCCUGACGGAGCAACGCCGCGUGGGUGAUGAAGGUCUUCGGAUCGUAAAACUCUGUUAUUAGGGAAGAACAAAUGUGUAAGUAACUAUGCACGUCUUGACGGUACCUAAUCAGAAAGCCACGGCUAACUACGUG